AUGAGGCUGAAAGUUGAUAUCCGCAGGGAGGCUUUUGCUCUUCAAAGACGACGAAAGCCAUGAUUGCCACCAAAUUCUCCGUGCUUCAGCACGUGUGCAUCGUCCCCUUCGCACGUGCAACCCGCCAUCGUUCCUUCACCGUCUCCGCUUCCGCCUCCACCACUGCCUCGCCGUCGCGCAAUCUCACCGCCUCCUCCUCGCGUGCCCCUCACGUGGACCCUCGUGUCCUCCUCGGCAUGACCGAGCAUGACCUUCAACAACUCGCCGUCGAGUUCGGCCAGCAAAGCUACAGAGGAAAACAGCUACACCAUUUAAUUUACAAGAGGAAGGCAAAAGAAAUUCAAGAUUUUAGUCACUUGCCUCAAGCAUUUAGAAACGAUCUUAUAGAAGCUGGAUGGAAAAUAGGAAGGUCUCCAAUUUAUCACACUGUUACUGCUGCCGAUGGCACUGUUAAGUUAUUGAUAAAGUUGGAGGAUAAUAGAUUGAUCGAAACAGUUGGCAUUCCAGUUGAAGAUGAAAAGGGUUCAAUGAAACUUACUGCAUGUGUAUCAUCACAGGUAGGCUGCCCAUUACGCUGUUCAUUUUGUGCCACUGGAAAGGGAGGGUAUUCAAGGAAUCUUCAGAGGCAUGAAAUUAUCGAGCAGGUAUUGGCUAUUGAGGAUAUUUUCAAGCACAGGGUUACAAAUGUAGUCUUCAUGGGGAUGGGGGAGCCCAUGUUGAAUUUGAAGUCUGUACUUGACGCUCAUCGAUGCUUGAAUAAGGAUAUACAAAUUGGGCAAAGAAUGAUUACAAUUUCCACUGUGGGAGUUCCAAACACCAUAAGAAAACUAGCUUCUCACAAGCUUCAGUCAACAUUGGCUGUCAGCUUACAUGCUCCAAACCAGGAACUCAGGGAAAUGAUUGUGCCCAGUGCGAAAUCCUACCCCCUUGAUGCAAUCAUGAAGGACUGCCGAGAUUACUUUGCCGAAACCAGUCGACGAGUCUCCUUUGAGUAUGCACUGCUAGCUGGAGUGAAUGAUUCAGUAGAACAGGCACGAGAACUAGCUGAUCUACUGCAUGAGUGGGGACGUGGUUAUCAUGUUAAUCUGAUACCCUUCAAUCCGAUAGAGGGUUCUGAGUAUCGACGGCCAUACAAAAAAGCAGUGUCAGCAUUUGCAGGUGCACUUGAGUCCCGCAAGAUAACUGUUAGUAUUCGUCAAACAAGGGGUCUGGAUGCAAGUGCUGCCUGCGGUCAGCUAAGAAAUAACUUCCAGAAAAAUCCUCUGCUUAUUGAACCUGACCACAAGAAAUCGCAACCAGAUGUUGCAGUUGCGUGUUGAAUGCUGAUGCCAUGACUUGGGAUGGUGUGUUUUUGCCUUCAAUGUUGUAUGUAAAGGGAAGCAUGAUCGCUUUGAUGCUGGAGCUCUGCUGUCUAUGUAUUGUGGUGCAUUGAGUUCAGUACUGCCACAUGUUGCAGAAACUGCAAUGAAAACACGGUAAGGUUAUCGAAGAAAACUAGAGA